AUGACGGUGUGCUAUCAGACGGGGAUGUCAAGCAGAUACGGCUGUCUGUUUGAGAAGAAGCUCUGCCCCAGAGACCAGCCCUGCUCAGAUGAUGGGCUGUUUGGCCAGUAUCUGCUGCCCCAGCAUUAGAGGGUUCUGUUGGGUUCUGAUCUGUUCUCUGUACUCUGUAGGUUGGCUGUUUGGCCACAAGAGAGGGUUCUGAUGUGUUCUGCUGUGUUCUCUAUAUU